rnacentral:lncRNA from 12 species
GAGAACACUAGCAGGAUGAGGGACAGAGGAGAGGGAGAAGCAGACUCCCCACUGAGCAGGAUGCCUGAAGCAGAAUUCGAUCCCAGGACCUUGAGAUCAUGACCUGAGCUGAAGGCAGACCCCUAACUGACUGAGCCACCCAGGUUCAUUUUCAUGUCAACUUUCUUUUUUUCAUCUUUGGAAUGGAACCCAUUAGCAUUGUCUUUCCGGGACUUCUCUCUCAAAAUGCCCACUAGGCCUGAUCAUGGUUUGUUGUGUAGAUGAAUGAGGAACCCUAGAGGGGAGAGAAGGAACCAGUACUGAGCCUGGACAUGCUGGAUCCCAUCAGACAUGUGACACUGACUAGGAUGUAAGCUCCAGAAAGGCAAAGGCUUGGGUCUGUGACCCUCACUGCUAUAUCCCUAGUGAGAACCUGGCUUAUGGGGGUGCUCCAUACCUAUUCGUUGGAGAAUGAUGUGCCAGGAUUCUUUUGGGCCAUUCCGGAUGUUAUUAGCAGAAACAGGAAAUGGGGCUAACUCCAGGCAUGAAAUCCAGGAGAAAGAAGGAGCUUGAGGAGUCCAAGGCAACAUGGAUCCCAGGUUGGGGGCGGGGUAGGAUUAAUCAUACAUAAACUCAAGUGGUAAUAGCCCCGUUAAUUGAGUCGUAAUGAUCCUUGGCAUUUUUCAUCUUCAAAGUCAGGAACAAACUGUAAUUAAUACUCCAGCCACCCGGGGGCAGGGUGGGGGGUGGCGUGGAGAAUCUUGAGCUGCUGCUGCUACUCAGUCCAGGAAACUGAGGCACUGGUGGUGAAACGGGUUAGCAGAGUGGAUACAAAGCCCAUAAUAAGGGCCCGGAAUCUUCAGGGUGCCUUGAGCAUAUCGCAGGGUGGCCCUUCCCAAACCCAGGCAGCCGGGGAGCUGAGAUCACAAAUGGCGGGGGGGGGGGGGGGGCCUUUGGAAACCCCCGGGACAAAAAAAGGGGGUUUGGCCCCCGGCCCGGCUAAGAAGACUGGAGCUGGGCAUAGGGGAGUCAAGGAACCAGAGUUCAGCCUGUGAGUGAGACCAUGGCAAAAGAGGUACCUCCAAGGGGGCCUUGGGUGGAAGAGCCAAGCAACCUUCAGAGGGCAUCCAGGGGAGUGAGGCACCGAAAAUCCUUGCCUCGAAGACACCAAGGAGUUUCUUCAUAGUUUUGCAAAAGCGUAAAUCAGAUUGCACCCCUACUUCCCCUCCAAUCUAGUUAUUAUCCAGUGGUUUCCCAUUGCUUUCAAGGUACAACCCCAAACUUCAGCAUGGCUGCAAGACCAGGCAUGUUCUGGUCUUUGCCCAUCUGUCCAGGUGGCCAUAUUAUUGGCCUGGAAGAUGCCAUGCAAGCCCUUCUGGAA